CAUAGUCAGGGCCAGGCGAAAGUCAUGAAUGGCAGAGGCACACUUGUACUUUAAACAAGCUGGCUCAAUCCCCAAAAAAUACAAUACAGGACACAGAACAUAUUUAAUGCUACAAUAUGGCAGUUACAUAAAAGUAGAUACAGAAUAAAUAGGCUGGAGUGUGUUACAUCAUUUUAUAUCAAUAGGUCAGUGGUAUGAACAAAU